GUUGCGGAAAUGCUUACUCGUUUAAUAACCACCACGUCCGCGUUUAACGCAAUUAAAAGACGGCGAGUUCUGGAACGAAAUCAUCUCUUCAUUCAGAAGGCAACAAAAUGAACAAGUCAGCACUUCUCCUCUUGCUUGUCAUAGGACUCCUCGUCUCCAUAGAAACUACGAAUGCGGAUACGGCGGGUGCUUCUGCUCUUGCUCUUACUCGUCGUCGUUCCACGCCAACACCUUGGACCGGUAGGUGGAACCAAAGGCAAAAUGUUGAAGAAAUGAUGGAGGAGUUGAACGACGACCCAGAAUACUUUAUGGACAAUUAGAAGAUAUUCAGAACAUGCAGAAUACUGGUUGUCAAUAUAAAUAAACCAACAUGCAUUAA